rnacentral:rRNA from 1 species
UGGGGAAUAUUGGACAAUGGGCGAAAGCCUGAUCCAGCCAUGCCGCGUGUGUGAAGAAGGUCUUCGGAUUGUAAAGCACUUUAAGUUGGGAGGAAGGGCUGCAAGUUAAUACCUUGUAGUUUUGACGUUACCAACAGAAUAAGCACCGGCUAACUUCGUGCCAGCAGCCGCGGUAAUACGAAGGGUGCAAGCGUUAAUCGGAAUUACUGGGCGUAAAGCGCGCGUAGGUGGUUUGGUAAGAUGGAUGUGAAAUACCCGGGCUCAACCUGGGAACUGCAUCCAUAACUGCCUGACUAGAGUACGGUAGAGGGUGGUGGAAUUUCCUGUUUAGCGGUGAAAUGCGUAGAUAUAGGAAGGAACACCAGUGGUGAAGGCGACCACCUGACUGA